UGAAACGUGGCUGGAAGCAGGAGCAUGAGCUAUGUGGCUGAAGGCCCGGGACUGUCCGAGGUUUCUGAGAAGAGAGCCAGAAAUCAAACCUGGAACCUGUUGCUGCUAAUCAAAUCAUGACAGAAAGCUUGCCAUUUCGUGCAGUAGAGGUUCUGUCAUGUGAUAUUGCUCCACGCAGAGGGAAGUCAGAGCAGCCCUGCACGCUGCUUUACACCACUGGAAAACGUUGAGCUUUGGCUGUGGGAAGGUCGAGUAAGGAGCUGCAUGAGUGCAAGGGGAGUCCCGUCAUCUGGGCGUGCAGAGCUUCACCUGUGUCCCUGCUUCUGCAGAAGGGCGAUACCGCAACAUGAACGUAUCUUGCUGUUCCAUUAUUGUCUCUGCUCUGCUGAGUUUUCCCACCUUCUCCACUGGCAGGGAUUCAGUGGCAGAGAGCAAGGCCUCCCUCGGUGAACCAUCAGAGACCGGGCUCUUUCUGUUUCUUGUGUGAACUGAAGUGCCAGCAGCCAGCCAGCAGUACUGCCACCACCAGUUUCCCAUCCUCUUGUCCUGAUGCAAUCCCCAGUGAUAAGCACCAGCUCUAGCUGAACGCAGGUCAUCCAGAAAUGGGACCCAAAUGCAUGUAUACUAGUUGCAUGGGAACUUGCUGAGAAUGGAGUACUGCCAAGGGAAUGAUACCAUCAAUAAGAAAAUGGGAACUUGGGUGUAGAAUUAUUUAUUUACUAUUUAUCCAUGGCUGUGUCUUGGUUUUUUUAGUUGCAGCAAAGAGUGACUACUGUGUAGUGUUACAACUUUGUUCUGUAAGGUUUCUCAAGAAUGAGACAUCUGCGGAACCUUAAGCCUCUGUGAUGAUCAUUAAGCCCCUGGAAGAAAACUAAAAGGAAUGUUCAAAAUCCAGAUACAAGCUGAUUAUGGUUUAGAGCUGGACACUUUACUCCUGGUGCUCAGGCAUAGGACUGGGGUAGGGUUAGGGGUGAGGAAGCGAGGACUUUCAGAGCUGAGUUUCCAGAGUAGUCCUGUUCAUCCCAGAAAGUCUGUCUGUAACUGGUGUUCCAGCAUCAUCUCUGACUAGAAAAAAGAAGUUCUCCCAAAGGAUGUUUCAGCAGUGGCUGGUGAGCUCCAGGAGAGGCUGUCCUCUCAGGUCUGGCAAGCAGAUUUACCUUUAGUUUCUCAACAAGUGUCUGCCCUUUGUUUGACUGAAUUUUUUUCUAACCAUGAAUUCUGACUGCUUUGUAGUUUUAAUUCGUUGUUCAAUACUGCUGUUUUGGGGAAUUUAUGAACUCUUUGAUCCUCUCUUCUCCUUACAAAAAGGAUUUAAGAGUGGGACAUUGUGUAAUGGUAUGUGCACUUGGCACAGCAAGCAGUAAAUAGGAUGUUUUUCGCUAGCUACAUGAUUUGUAGUAUGUUUCAUCUUCCGUCUUCCAUAUUGUAAUUAUUUCAGCAUCUCUGUCCUUCUUGUCCGUUAUACUACCUUCCCCAGCAGCGUGGAAGCGAGCAUGUUGUACACAAGGAUCACCCAUGUUCCAGCUGCUUUCCUCACCUGAGGCCGGGGUGUGGGGCACUGGGAGUGCAGAAGCUGGGGAGAAGAAGAGGGAGGCUGAGCACAAC